GCGUCGGUGGUUCAGUGGUAGAAUACGCGCCUGCCACGCGGAUGGCCCCGGUUCGAUUCCCGGCCGACGCA
rnacentral:tRNA from 1 species